GGGUUGUGAGGUUAAGCGACUAAGCGUACACGGUGGAUGCCCGCAGUCAGAGGCGAUGAAGGGCGUGCUAAUCUGCGAUAAGCGCCGGUAAGGUGAUAUGAACCGUUAUAACCGGCGAUACCCGAAUGGGGAAACCCAGUGUGAUUCGUCACACUAUCAUUAACUGAAUCCAUAGGUUAAUGAGGGGGGAACUGAAACAUCUAAGUACCCCGAGGAAAAGAAAUCAACCGAGAUUCCCCCAGUAGCGGCGAGCGAACGGGGAGGAGCCCAGAGCCUGAAUCAGCAUGUGUGUUAGUGGAAGCGUCUGGAAAGGCGCGCGAUACAGGGUGACAGCCCCGUACACAAAAGCGCAUGUGCUGUGAGCUCGAUGAGUAGGGCGGGACACGUGGUAUCCUGUCUGAAUAUGGGGGACCAUCCUCCAAGGCUAAAUACUCCUGACUGACCGAUAGUGAACCAGUACCGUGAGGGAAAGGCGAAAAGAACCCCGGCGAGGGGAGUGAAAAAGAACCUGAAACCGUGUACGUACAAGCAGUGGGAGCCCCACCACCAAAGCAUUCUCUGGUGUUGAAGGCCCUGCAAAGCAGCAUCGCGGUGGCGGAGCGUCGUUUGCGACGCCCAACACACAAAACAAGCGGUGAGUGCUUUGGGGUGGGGUGACUGCGUACCUUUUGUAUAAUGGGUCAGCGACUUAUAUUCUGUAGCAAGGUUAACCGUAUAGGGGAGCCGCAGGGAAACCGAGUCUUAAUUGGGCGUUAAGUUGCAGGGUAUAGACCCGAAACCCGGUGAUCUAGCCAUGGGCAGGUUGAAGGUUGGGUAACACUAACUGGAGGACCGAACCGACUAAUGUUGAAAAAUUAGCGGAUGACCUGUGGCUGGGGGUGAAAGGCCAAUCAAACCGGGAGAUAGCUGGUUCUCCCCGAAAGCUAUUUAGGUAGCGCCUCGUGAACUCAUCUCCGGGGGUAGAGCACUGUUUCGGCUAGGGGGCCAUCCCGGCUUACCAACCCGAUGCAAACUGCGAAUACCGGAGAAUGUUAUCACGGGAGACACACGGCGGGUGCUAACGUCCGUCGUGAAGAGAUGUUGGCUUAGAAGCAGCCAUCAUUUAAAGAAAGCGUAAUAGCUCACUGGUCGAGUCGGCCUGCGCGGAAGAUGUAACGGGGCUAAACCAUGCACCGAAGCUGCGGCAGCGAACGUAUCACUUAAAGCGAUUCAGCGGGUUACGAUUGACGGAGCGAAGCGACGUCAAAGCGUAUACAAAGUCGAGUCGGUUUAAGGAUACGUUCGUUGGGUAGGGGAGCGUUCUGUAAGCCUGCGAAGGUGGCCUGUGAGGGUUGCUGGAGGUAUCAGAAGUGCGAAUGCUGACAUAAGUAACGAUAAAGCGGGUGAAAAGCCCGCUCGCCGGAAGACCAAGGGUUCCUGUCCAACGUUAAUCGGGGCAGGGUGAGUCGACUCCUAAGGCGAGGCCGAAAGGCGUAGUCGAUGGGAAACGGGUUAAUAUUCCCGUACUUGGUGUUACUGCGAAGGGGGGACGGAGAAGGCUAUGUUGGCCGGGCGACGGUUGUCCCGGUUUAAGCGUGUAGGUGUGUGUUCCAGGUAAAUCCGGUUCACUUUAACACUGAGGCGUGAUGACGAGGCACUACGGUGCUGAAGCAACAAAUGCCCUGCUUCCAGGAAAAGCCUCUAAGCAUCAGGUAACAUCAAAUCGUACCCCAAACCGACACAGGUGGUCAGGUAGAGAAUACCAAGGCGCUUGAGAGAACUCGGGUGAAGGAACUAGGCAAAAUGGUGCCGUAACUUCGGGAGAAGGCACGCUGACACGUAGGUGAAGUGAUUUACUCAUGGAGCUGAAGUCAGUCGAAGAUACCAGCUGGCUGCAACUGUUUAUUAAAAACACAGCACUGUGCAAACACGAAAGUGGACGUAUACGGUGUGACGCCUGCCCGGUGCCGGAAGGUUAAUUGAUGGGGUCAGCGCAAGCGAAGCUCCUGAUCGAAGCCCCGGUAAACGGCGGCCGUAACUAUAACGGUCCUAAGGUAGCGAAAUUCCUUGUCGGGUAAGUUCCGACCUGCACGAAUGGCGUAAUGAGGCUGUCUCCACCCGAGACUCAGUGAAAUUGAACUCGCUGUGAAGAUGCAGUGUACCCGCGGCAAGACGGAAAGACCCCGUGAACCUUUACUAUAGCUUGACACUGAACAUUGAGCCUUGAUGUGUAGGAUAGGUGGGAGGCUUUGAAGUGUGGACGCCAGUCUGCAUGGAGCCGACCUUGAAAUACCACCCUUUAAUGUUUGAUGUUCUAACGUGGACCCGUUACCCGGGUUGCGGACAGUGUCUGGUGGGUAGUUUGACUGGGGCGGUCUCCUCCUAAAGAGUAACGGAGGAGCACGAAGGUUGGCUAAUCCUGGUCGGACAUCAGGAGGUUAGUGCAAUGGCAUAAGCCAGCUUGACUGCGAGCGUGACGGCGCGAGCAGGUGCGAAAGCAGGUCAUAGUGAUCCGGUGGUUCUGAAUGGAAGGGCCAUCGCUCAACGGAUAAAAGGUACUCCGGGGAUAACAGGCUGAUACCGCCCAAGAGUUCAUAUCGACGGCGGUGUUUGGCACCUCGAUGUCGGCUCAUCACAUCCGGGCUGAAGUAGGUCCCAAGGGUAUGGCUGUUCGCCAUUUAAAGUGGUACGCGAGCUGGGUUUAGAACGUCGUGAGACAGUUCGGUCCCUAUCUGCCGUGGGCGCUGGAGAACUGAGGGGGCUCCUAGUACGAGAGGACCGGAGUGGACGCAUCACUGGUGUUCGGGUUGUCAUGCCAAUGGCACUGCCCGGUAGCUAAAUGCGGAAGAGAUAAGUGCUGAAAGCAUCUAAGCACGAAACUUGCCCCGAGAUGAGUUCUCCCUGAGACUUAGAGUCUCCUGAAGGAACGUUGAAGACGACGACGUUGAUAGGCCGGGUGUGUAAGCGCAGCGAUGCGUUGAGCUAACCGGUACUAAUGAACCGUGAGGCUUAACCUUACAACGCCGAAG
rnacentral:rRNA from 1 species